GGACCAGCGAGUGCUAGGGGACAGUCCUUAGAAAGCGUAGAGCUAGUGCAUCAUUAGACGAAUUUAUGCCAAGCUCAGGGUGCUGUCUGCACAGUAUGACCUUGGUUGGUCAUCCUUGGCAGGUGGCCUGAUGUGUAUUCACACCAAGCUGACCAUCUAAUUCUUCAUACAGACAGGCCCCCUUUCUGGGCAUGUUGUCCCUUUGGGCGGUGCUGGUUACGUGAUUCACAUCACUGGCCCACCCUUUUACCUCACCCACUGAAAUCCUGCUUCACCGGAUACUGCUGUUAGGGGCAAUGGAUUUACUUAAACGACGAAAGCGAGAGAUUAGCAUAGGGUAUAUGUUUUCUGAUUUCUAUAUCCUGUGAGUUUCCCUCCAGCACAACCUCUACCAGAUACAUGACACUUGGGAGGUAUAACUGUUUUCUGUCGAUAAGAUUCUGCAAUUAGGCCCAUCAUAAUUGUCAGCACCGGGCCCAAUGGGCUCUUAAUCUGGUCCUGGAGUCAAAGGUGCAUGUUGGUCUUAAACAGGAAGAGGUGGGGCAAAUUUAGAUUAGGGGAGUGCCCGAGUUUGAUCAUGCCUAGGGCAGCACAAAUCCAAAAUACACCACUGGGGUUACGUUUGGAACUGAAGCAGUUCAUCA